GUUGUGCCCACCAUCUGCUGCAUACAAAGGUGUGAUGUGAAAGCUUUCGUGUCCCUACGUAUAGUAUUUUCUUGCAGGCUGUCUUUGCGGCAAAGACAUGGAAGGACAGAAGCUGGUUACCGUCAUUCUACUCAGCGCUCAUUUAGCCACGUUGGGAUGUAGCUUGAAACUGCCAUCAAUGAGCUACAAUAUCAGAAAGUUUUUAGGUACCUCUAUUCCCAUAUGGACAUACAAGACCAGGCAAGGCGGAAAUGUUUUGUGUACAGUGGACGUAAUGAAGUCUAUGAGUCAAACUUCCAUAACGUUUGACCAUCUUUACUACGAAAAGGGCGUAAAAUGGAACGUCACAUUGAUGGGCACAUUUGAUCAACAAAAAAUGAGUCGGAUGAUUGUUCAUCCCAAGGGUGGUGCGUAUAAAAUUAUAGAAGAAAUCGUCUACUACAAUACGAAAUCCCACUGCGCUGUGAUUAGGGUCACGAUGCCUAUUACUGGCGGGCUACGCAUGUACGACCUUAGAGUUUGGAACUCAACCAGGAUACACAGCAAUGUACGCCCCUGUCUUGCAAAAUUCGAAAAACUGGAAACCCGAGGACAUUGUAUUUACGAGAACUUCUGUAAGGGGCUAUUUCAUGAGAGUUCAAAAUCGCCGCAUAUGAUUCAGCAAAAGCCACAACGUCCACUUCAAAAGUUAUAGAAAAUUGGAAGGAAAAUUUUGGUGUUGUCGUUCAGGAACAUAAACUUUGAGUACUGAUGUGUAAUACCGUGUACUGUUUGGUCUGUAAGCUUUCUGCGAUUUGCAAGUGAAGC
rnacentral:lncRNA from 1 species